GCAAACUUGGUCAUUUAGAGGAAGUAAAAGUCGUAACAAGGUUUCCGUAGGUGAACCUGCGGAAGGAUCAUUACCGAGUUGGGGUCCUCUGGGCCCGAUCUCCAACCCUUUGUUUAACUACCGUGUUGCUUUGGCAGACCAGCCAUUUGGCGGUCAGAAGCUCUAUCGCUUAACGGCGAUGGUGUUCCUGAUUUGCGUCUGCCAGUAGCCCAAUUUAACUCAUUUAUCGAAAUAGCCGUCUGAAUCAUAGAUUGAAUAAACAAAACUUUCAACAACGGAUCUCUUGGUUCUGGCAUCGAUGAAGAACGCAGC
rnacentral:misc_RNA from 1 species